AAGUCAUCUUGCUGGUAUCCCGCAAAUCUCUGGUAAAUCAUAGCCCGAAAAGUAGUUUUGAUUCAGAGACCGGCCCGUGAGAAUAUUGGAACAGUUACAAGUUAGAGCAGUAGUUCUUUUGGCCUUGUUUCCUCAAACAGUCAGUGUCUGAAAGUGUCAUUGAUUGUGCAAGGAUAACGCUUCACGAUUCUUGUAAACCCAUCUCGCCUAGUGCCCCCUUGCAACCCCACAGUUUGUGGGAAGCUCAAUGUAAUACAUUGGAAACCGAACAACUGUGAACAAUGGAUAUAUUGGUUCUC
rnacentral:misc_RNA from 1 species